UACGAAGGGGGCUAGCGUUGCUCGGAGUCACUGGGCGUAAAGCGCACGUAGGCGGAUUGCUAAGUCAGGGGUGAAAUCCUGGAGCUCAACUCCAGAACUGCCUUUGAUACUGGCGGCCUUGAGUCCGGGAGAGGUGAGUGGAACUGCGAGUGUAGAGGUGAAAUUCGUAGAUAUUCGCAAGAACACCAGUGGCGAAGGCGGCUCACUGGCCCGGUACUGACGCUGAGGUGCGAAAGCGUGGGGAGCAAACAGG
rnacentral:rRNA from 1 species